GACGAACGAGGGAGGGGGGGGGAACACAUGCAAGUCGAACGGAAAGGCCCUGCUUUUGUGGGGUGCUCGAGUGGCGAACGGGUGAGUAACACGUGAGUAACCUGCCCUUGACUUUGGGAUAACUUCAGGAAACUGGGGCUAAUACCGGAUAGGAGCUCCUGCUGCAUGGUGGGGGUUGGAAAGUUUCGGCGGUUGGGGAUGGACUCGCGGCUUAUCAGCUUGUUGGUGGGGUAGUGGCUUACCAAGGCUUUGACGGGUAGCCGGCCUGAGAGGGUGACCGGCCACAUUGGGACUGAGAUACGGCCCAGACUCCUACGGGAGGCAGCAGUGGGGAAUAUUGCACAAUGGGCGGAAGCCUGAUGCAGCAACGCCGCGUGCGGGAUGACGGCCUUCGGGUUGUAAACCGCUUUCGCCUGUGACGAAGCGUGAGUGACGGUAAUGGGUAAAGAAGCACCGGCUAACUACGUG
rnacentral:rRNA from 1 species